rnacentral:lncRNA from 1 species
CUCCCACUAUAAUAUUUAUUACACCAAUAACAUCAGUAAAGUUCAACAAAUUGCAUAUAAAUUCAACAAUAGUAAAAUAACAAUAAAUACAACAGAUAACUGUUCUGACCAAUAGCCUUUCUUAAAAAGGAGCUAUUAAGUAUGUUAAACUUUAUUUAUCCACAAAUUCACUUUAUGAAUAUAAUUCCACCCAACUUAUCCUUAAAUUAAUAAUAACCACCUAUUUCUAUGUUAAACGGACUUUAUUUAAAGUUAGCGCCGGAAAAGCAUACCUAUGUAUCCGGAGACGGUCCCUCACAUUUAACUAUCAAUAAUUACAUACCUUAAAGGUCAAGGACACUGGAGUGUUUGUACACAAAAACGUGUUCGGCCCAAUUAGACUGAUACAGUCUGGAGGGUUUGAGGGUGGCUUGAUGCAAGCCGGCUCAAUGCAGCAACUCCAAGAUGUAGCAAACACUCCAGUAUUUAUACUUUUUAAAACAAUGGAAUCAAACACCGUGAAAAACAACAAGUUUAUUACGUAAGUGAGGAGAUAUAAACACCGAGAUCUUCGAAUUAACUUUGAACCCAAGGACAGCAUUGGCUUAAGUUGACCACUAGAUUUAAUGAAUAGAAAAUGCCGUAUGUCCAUCUACUUCCGGUCAACGUGCUCCAGAAGUAGAGAAGAAAUUUAAUUAAAUAUACUUGAAGACAAGAAGCAAUAGUCAAAAAGGUUAGUUUCCUAAAUCAAAUAAUCCCUUUUAUACAUGUAUAUAAAUUUGUAGCAAAUUCCUAUCUGGGGAAAUACUAGUUUUAUUCUAUAAAAUUGCCUGGUCACUACAUUCCUCCCCCCUAAAGAUCAAUAUUACAGGUAAAAUUGAUCCCACUAAAAGUUAAUAAAAGGCUCUUAGUAGAUAAAACUUGUUAAAAUUUGAAGUUUAAAUGUUAAUAGGUUAUUAAACUAUAAAUCAGAACAUUCAAAGGUUGUAAAUGCAUAUAUAAACACAAUAAUUAAAUGUUCAUUCAAAAAAUAUAAUCAAGAGAAGUCUCUAUCCAGAAUUUCGGCUGCCUCCAGACGCUCUGUCAAACGAUGGACUAGCGAGGCCCUAGCUUCCUCCUCUCGCUUCCUACUUGCCUCACGUUUUUCGCGAUCGAUUAUUUCCGCAUUCUCCUCCGGAGUUCCCAGUCUGGGCAGUAUUGCUCCCCGCGUUUCAAUAUAGUCCACAUUAGGAGUCACUAUAGUUUGUAGAAAUUUGUGAAUAUGGUCUUCUCUGACUAAAUGUUUAAAGGAAAGGUGUCGAGAGCACCGGUCUUGAUUCCAAACAUUUUACGACACUUUCCACAUUUGAAAAUUUGUCUGGUAGACUGGUGUAGAUACUGCCAGUGAGUGUGCAUCUCUCUCAGGGUGUGGUAUUUGUAUAGUGUACUGCACCUCCUCACUGGACAGUAUUGUCCCAACGGGUUAAAUAUGGGUGUGGCAGGGCGGAUGACAAGAUGGUGGAACUGUUGCAGUUCCUGCUCGUCUGCCCUUAACUGCACAUUAUCAUCAUCACACAUUCUAUAAUAUAAAUACUGAUAUUAGAAAAAAUACAUUUCUUCAAUACCCUACAAAUAAAUAUUCUUAAUUAUUUCAUACAUAUUUAUAUAUAUAUAUGCACUAAUCUUGCACAAAG